rnacentral:rRNA from 1 species
GACGAACGCUGGCGGCGUGCUUAACACAUGCAAGUCGAACGGUAAGGCCCUUCGGGGUACACGAGUGGCGAACGGGUGAGUAACACGUGGGUGAUCUGCCCUGCACUUCGGGAUAAGCCUGGGAAACUGGGUCUAAUACCGGAUAGGACCACUGCCUGCAUGGGUGGUGGUGGAAAGCUUUUGCGGUGUAGGAUGGGCCCGCGGCCUAUCAGCUUGUUGGUGGGGUAAUGGCCUGCCAAGGCGACGACGGGUAGCCGGCCUGAGAGGGUGACCGGCCACACUGGGACUGAGAUACGGCCCAGACUCCUACGGGAGGCAGCAGUGGGGAAUCUUGCGCAAUGAGCGACAGCUUGACGCAGCAACGCCGCGUGGGGGAUGACGGCCUUCGGGUUGUAAACCUCUUUCAGCACCGACGAAGCGCAAGUGACGGUAGGUGCAGAAGAAGGACCGGCCAACUACGUGCCAGCAGCCGCCGUAA